CCUACGGGUGGCAGCAGUAGGGAAUAUUGCUCAAUGGGGGAAACCCUGAAGCAGCAACGCCGCGUGGAGGAUGAAGGACUUCGGGUUGUAAAGCCCUUUUGUUAGGGAAGAUAAUGACGGUAUCUGACGAAUAAGCCCCGGCUAACUCCGUGCCAGCAGCCGCGGUAAUACGGAGGGGGCAAGCGUUACUCGGAAUUACUGGGCGUAAAGGGGGCGUAGGCGGGAUAGCAAGUCAGGUGUGAAAUCCUAUGGCUUAACCAUAGAACUGCAUUUGAAACUGUUUUUCUGGAGUGUAGGAGAGGUAUGUGGAAUGCUUGGUGUAGGGGUAAAAUCCGUAGAGAUCAAGAGGAACACUCAUUGCGAAGGCGACCUACUAGAACAUAACUGACGCUGAUGCGCGAAGGCGUGGGGAGCAAACAGGAUUAGAUACCCUAGUAGUC
rnacentral:rRNA from 1 species